UCAAUCUUCUUAAAUUUGUAAAGAGUUGUUUUGUGGCCUAGCAUGUGAUCUAUUCUGGAGAAUGUCUCAUAUGUGCUUGAGAAGAAUAUUAUUCUGCUGUUGUUGGGUGGCAUAUUCUGUACAUGUUUGUUAGGUUCAUUUGGUCUACAGUGUAGCUCAAGUUCAAUGUUGCCUUAUUGAUUUUCUUCCUAGGUUAUCAGUUGUUGA